GUAAGCAACGUGCCCCAAAGACCGGGAUAGUCCAUGGAGACGUGGCGUAAUACCGGAUGUGGCCGUCUGAAGGCAUCUUCGGACGAUCAAAUGGUUUUUCGCUUUGGGAGCGGCUUACGGCCUAUCAGGUAGUUGGUGGGGUAACGGCCUACCAAGCCGACGACGGGUAGCGGGUCUGAGAGGAUGAUCCGCUCGAGUGGGACUGAGACACGGCC
rnacentral:rRNA from 1 species